GUCCUUUAGAUUUAUAAUUUAAGGUCUAACCUGCCCAAUGAUUUUAUUUAAUGGCCGCAGUAUUUUGACUGUGCAAAGGUAGCAUAAUCAUUAGUUUUUUAAUUGAAAGCUUGUAUGAAUGGUUGGACGAGAAAAAAUCUGUCUUAAAUUAAUAAUUUGAAUUUAAUUUUUUAGUUAAAAAGCUAAAAUUUUAUUAAAAGACGAGAAGACCCUAUAGAUCUUUAUAUUAGAUUAUUUAAAUUAAAUUAAGAAUUUUAAAUUAUUUAUUUAAUUUAAUAUUUUAUUGGGGUAAUAAAAAGAUUAAAUAAAUUCUUUUUUUAAUAAAAUAUUGAAUUAUAAAUUUUAGAUCCAUUAUUAAUGAAAUAUGAUUAAGUUACCUUAGGGAUAACAGCGUAAUUUUUUUAGAGAGUUCAUAUCGAUAAAAAAGUUUGCGACCUCGAUGUUGGAUUAAAAGUAAUCUUAGGUGCAGAAGUUUAAGGUUUUGGUCUGUUCGACCAUUAAAUUUUUACA
rnacentral:rRNA from 1 species